AAAGUCCCUUGCUUCUCAAAAUGUACAUCUUAUUAAGCUUGAUCGUUCAUGACUUGUUAGUUUCUCUCUUGUCUUAGCCCCACUUAAGAUGACCGAUUCAGUUUUUCACUUGGUCUUGAGUUUCUUGUAAUCAGAGUAACUGUUGUUGGUUUAGUCAUUCACAAUUUUUGGCUUUUCUAUUUAGCUCUAAUUUACACCAGCAAAGUCACUGUGCAUUCUCAUCUAGUAGAAAGUCACUGUGCAUUCUCAUCUAGUAGAAAGUCACUCUGCUGUUCUAGUGAGCUCUAAUUUGGUUGGGAAUUCCUUUUUCUCCGUAACGGCUAAUCCCACCUUAGCAAUUCUCAUCUAGUAGAAAGUCACUCUGCUGUUCUAGUGAGCUCUAAUUUGGUUGGGAAUUCCUUUUUCUCCGUAACGGCUACUCCCACUUCAGCUCUGAAUUGCGGAAAAACCUUGAAAC
rnacentral:lncRNA from 1 species